rnacentral:rRNA from 1 species
GACGAACGCUGGCGGCGUGCUUAACACAUGCAAGUCGAACGGAAAGGCCCUGCUUUUGUGGGGUGCUCGAGUGGCGAACGGGUGAGUAACACGUGAGUAACCUGCCCUUGACUUUGGGAUAACUUCAGGAAACUGGGGCUAAUACCGGAUAGGAGCUCCUGCUGCAUGGUGGGGGUUGGAAAGUUUCGGCGGUUGGGGAUGGACUCGCGGCUUAUCAGCUUGUUGGUGGGGUAGUGGCUUACCAAGGCUUUGACGGGUAGCCGGCCUGAGCGGGUGACCGGCCACAUUGGGACUGAGAUACGGCCCAGACUCCUACGGGAGGCAGCAGUGGGGAAUAUUGCACAAGGGGCGGAAGCCUGAUGCAGCAACGCCGCGUGCGGGAUGACGGCCUUCGGGUUGUAAACCGCUUUCGCCUGUGACGAAGCGUGAGUGACGGUAAUGGGUAAAGAAGCACCGGCUAACUACGUG